UGUCCUGUUUUAGUACCAUGCAUCUUCCUUUUACCAAAGAUGUGUGGCUAUGCUAACAGGAAAGAGAAACUUUUCAUCACUUGCUGAAGGAGUUGAGCAGCCUCAUUCCUGUCGCUCCUAAUGAAAUGAUGGCACAGAGCACA